GCCUGCGUGGUGUAGUGGUUAGCGCUGUUGUUUUAGAACUUUUGGGCGCGGGUUCGAUUCCCCUGGGAGUCA